GAUGAACGCUGGCGGCGUGCCUAAUACAUGCAAGUCGAGCGAAUGGAUUGAGAGCUUGCUCUUAUGAAGUUAGCGGCGGACGGGUGAGUAACACGUGGGUAAUCUGCCCAUAAGACUGGGAUAACUCCGGGAAACCGGGGCUAAUACCGGAUAACAUUUUGAACCGCAUGGUUCGAAAUUGAAAGGCGGCUUCGGCUGUCACUUAUGGAUGGACCCGCGUCGCAUUAGCUAGUUGGUGAGGUAACGGCUCACCAAGGCAACGAUGCGUAGCCGACCUGAGAGGGUGAUCGGCCACACUGGGACUGAGACACGGCCCAGACUCCUACGGGAGGCAGCAGUAGGGAAUCUUCCGCAAUGGACGAAAGUCUGACGGAGCAACGCCGCGUGAGUGAUGAAGGCUUUCGGGUCGUAAAACUCUGUUGUUAGGGAAGAACAAUUGCUAGUUGAAUAAGCUGGCACCUUGACGGUACCUAACCAGAAAGCCACGGCUAACUACGUGCCAGCCGCCGCCGUAA
rnacentral:rRNA from 1 species